ACUCAAGAAUCAUUAGUCUAUUCCUACAGAACACUUUUUGGGGGGUCACCAGAAAUAGUACCCAGGGGAACUUAACCACUGAGCCAUAUCUCUAGCCCUUUUUAUGUUUUGAGAUACAGCCUCACUAAGUUGCUAAGGCUGGCUUUGAACUUGUGAUCCUCCUGCCUCAGACUCCUGAGCUACUGGAGUUUAUAGGAAUGUCUUACUGAACCUGGCUAGAACAUUUUUUAGUUGUUUCUUUAUAAUUAUUCAUAACAUUUUAGGAUUCAUUUUAACAUAAUUAUAAAAGCAUGUAAUAUAAUUUGCUCUAAUUCGGUCCCUAGUACUCCCUGUUCCCCCUCUUCUCCUUCCCCCUGUUCUCUCCCUUCUACUCUACUGAUCUUUCUGCUAUUUGCUUAUAGUUUUUAAGAAUAAUUAUUGCAGCUAACAUCUAUUAGGCUGCCAGGCAUCUAUGAUCAGCAUUUCAUAUUUAAUCCUCAUAAUAAGCUUAUGUGGUAAAUGUUAUCAUGACCCCAUUUUACAAAUGAAGAAACUGAGGCACAGAGAGGUUAUAUAACUUGUCCUAGGGCCACCAAACUAGUAAGAAGCAAAGCUGGAAUUUGAACUCAUUUCUGACCCCAAAGCCCAUAUAAAGAAAAAAAAAAGGGGGGGGGGGGUUAAGACAGAAGACAGAUGUUACUUUAACCUUAGCUUUGAGAGAACUAAAUUCAGAAAUGCCUCGAUAAACUUCAUCUGCUCAUCUGGAAAAGUCUAUGAGAAUUAUACUUUUACUUCUUUUCCCUAAUUAUUUUCCAUGAUUAAAUAAUUAGCCCACAGAACUGAGACUGUAGAGAUUUAAAACCUUUUUAUAGGUGACAUCAGUGAAAAUUGGUGGAGUAAGGAUAUCUGAAAAUACAUCCCUCCACAAAGGCAACAACAACAACAAAAUGGCAAAAUGGUCAAAAUCACUUUUUCCAGUGUUCUGGAAAUUUAAUCAAAGGCUUACAGCAAACUAAGAAGCAUUUAUUCCAGAAAAACAGCUGAAUUUCUAUACGAACAGUGAGAUUUGUGUUGUUCUUCCAUUCCUCACUCUCUAGCUCAGUGAUAGCUUUGAAAAAUAGCCCAGCUGGGUGCGGUGAUGCACCCUGUAAUCCCAAUGGCUCAGGAGGCUGAAGCAGGAGGAUCAUGAGUUCAAAGCCAGCCUCAGCAACAGCGAGGUGCUAAACAAUUCAGUGAGACCCUGUCUCUAAAAAAAAAUUCAAAAUAGGGCUGGGGGGUGGUUUAGUGGUUGAGUGCCCCUGAGCUCAAUCCCCAGUACCCCAAAACAACAACAACAACAACAAAAAAAACUCUUAGGAUAAAACAUAGGAGUAAAUGCUCACGACCUUGUUUUAGGUUAAAAGUUUCUCAGAUAUGACACCAAAAGAAUAAAUAACCAAUGGAAAAAUUAGGUAAAUUAGAUUGUAUCAAAAUUUAAAACUUUUAUGCUUUGAAGGACACUAUUAAGAAGGUGAAAUGACAACUUAUAGAAGGGGAUAAAAUAUUUAUAGAUCAUAUAGCUGAUAAUACACAGAAUACCCAAAAUGUAUAAAGAACUCCUAUAACUCAGAAAAAAAAAGACAACUCAAUUUUAAAAUGGGGAAAGUCAUGAAUAAACAUUUCUUCAAAUAAGAUAUGUAAAGGCCAACAUGCUCAUGAAGAGAAUGCUCAGUUUCUCAAGUCAUUAGGAAAAUGCAAAUUAAAACCACAAGAUACUACUUUAUACUCAUAAUGUUAUGAAGAGAAAGACUGGUUAAGCAUUGUUCCUUAAUAUAAGGCUUUAAAUAAAAAAUAAGACAGAUAAUAACAAGUGUUGACAAAAAAUACAGAGAAACCUGAACCCUCAUACUUUGUAGCUGGGAAUGUAAAAUGGUGAAGCCACUGUGGAAAACGGUCUGGGAAUUCCUCAAAAAAGUUAACUAUAGUUACCACAUGACCCACCAAUUCCCUUCCUAGGUAUGCACCCUAGAAUUCCCUUCCUAGGUAUGUACCCUAGAAUUAAAAACAUGUGUCUACACAAAAACUGGCAUUAUUCAUAAUAGCCUCAAAGUAGAAACAUCCCAAAUAUUCAUUAAUUAAUGUUUAGAUGAAUUGAUAUAAUGGUACAUCUAUACAAUGGGAUAUUAUUCAGCUGUAGAAAGUACUGAUAACUGUUACAAGGGUGAACCUAGGAAACAAUAAACCAUGUGAAAGCCAGAUAUAAAAGGCCAUUACAAUAUAACUUGUCUAUGUGAAAUGUCCAGUAUAGGCAAAUCCAGAAGGACAGAAAGUAGUGAAUGCCAGGGACUGUGGGGAGAAAGAAAGAGAAAGUGAUAGCUAACUGGAACCAUGUUUCCUUUUGGAGUGAUGGAAACGUUCAGGUAGAUAACAGCGAUUGUUGCACAACCUUAUGAAUGCAUUGAAUAUCCUGAAUUGUGCUUUGUAAUGUUGCUUUUUUGUGGUGUGUUAUAUCAAUUUUCUUAUUUCCAUGUUUCCCCAUUCACAAGACAGAGCAGGCACAGGGCCUGGGUUGAAAUGUACAUGGGGUCGGCUUAUUCUGCUCCCUCUUUCUGUACAGUUAAUGUAAGAACACAGCCUGUAGUAAGCAAGAGGAGGGAAAAGAACCAUAUUUUAAUGUAUAGAACACCAAUUGCUAUAAGCCUAAUCAUGUCAGUAGAUGGAAUAAAGAGGAGUGACAUUUCAUACUCUUCCAUGACUAAGGUCAAAGUGACUAACUGGUGAAGCCAGCAGCCACAUAGCUUGUUCUUGCCUAGUGCAUUUUUCCAGAUAUUUUUCAGUCUCAUUAACUUGCCCAAUUUAUAACACUAGUUGUGAUGUUAUGAAGACAAACAAAUUUGAAUGACACAGGUUUGUUCCCAAACUUGGGCUUUAAACAUUCUCUGCCAUGAGUGGGGGCAUUAAAACCUGUAAGAUGGCUGGUGUGUUCUGUAAAAGUAAGCUCCUACACCUCUAUCUCCUCCUGUUCCCUUUCCACUAGCCUUUAAGAAUGACUGUAAAGCAAUCUGUAGCCAGAAGAAUGUAGCAAACUUUGUUAUUAUCUUUCCUUUAAAAUGAUCUCAGUUCUUCAGUGCUUCUCUCUUUUUUAGCAGUUCGCACAUGGCUUUGUGCCCUUCAUCUCAGCAUUUCCUCUCAACAGACAGCCCUUCUACAACUGACACUGGGGUCUUUGUCCCUAGUGAAAUUAAAACAUGAAGCCACAAUCUAGAUUAUCCUAUUUUUUUCCUCCUGUAUUAGAGCAUCAUUUUCUUCAUUAAGGUUGUGCCUGUGCAAUGGAGAGAGUGAGGGGGAAGCUGGAACACGCUAUAGUGACUCUUUUUCAUGAACCAAACAUAUGAACAUUUGUAGAUUCAGAGUGGACACUUCACUAGAGAUCAUUUCCAUUUAUCCCUCAAUUCCCUGAUUUUAUAGAUAAACUAAGGUGCACUGACUCCUCAUCCAUUGCCUUUUUGAUACCUUUGUGGGAGUACCAGUGGCUAAUUUUUUUUUUCUUUUUUUUCUUUUUGCCUUAAAGACUGUCUCAGAGGCAAAGUUUGAGAUGCAUUGCCUGUUUGUAUGUUUGUUUUGUGUUACUGGGGAUUGAACCCAGGAGUGUUCUACCACUAAAGCCACAUCUCCAGCCUGUCCCUGCCACCACUUUUUUUUGGAACCAGGAAUUGAACCCAGGGGUGCUUAACCAUUAAACUACACAUCCAGCCCUUUUAAUUUUUGAGACAGGAUCUUGCUCAGUUGCUUACAGCCUCACUAAAUUGUUGAGGCUGGCUUUGAACUUGCAAUCCUCCUGCCUCAGCCUCCUGGGCUGUUGGGAUUACAGGCAUGAACCCCUGCACUCAGCUUCUAGCCCUUUUUAUUUUAUUUUGAGAUAGGGUCUCACUAAGUUGCUAAGGCUGGCCUUGAACUUGCGAUUUUCUUGCUGUAGGCUCUUCCCAAGUAACUGGGAUUACAGAUGUGCAUCUCUAUGCCCAGCUUGAGAAGUACAGUUUUAAGUGAUUUUAAAAACAUACCUUAUUGGAAAAGGAAAACUCAAAUAUGUUUGCUCAAGCCUUUUGCUGUAGGAACAAUGGGACAGAAUAAAGGUCCAUGAGCCAUAAGAAAAUGACUGCCCACAUGAAGCUCCUCAAUACAAGACCUCCGACUGCACCACGUCAGUCCUUUCUAAAGGCAAAGUCUAAAGGAAUCUGAAAUGGCAAGCCUGUAUCUGAAAGUGCUGAGAAGAGCCUUGAAGAAGACUCCCUGGCAGUGAGGAACAGAAGAAGCAGCAAGGACCCUGGAAUCAGGCAGACCUGGGUUUGAAUUCUGACUCUGUCACUUUCUACUGAAGUGACUUGAGUCACAAACAUCUGUGAGCCUUAUUAGUAGCAUUUUCCUCACACCAGGCAGUCUGAAGAUUAAAUGAAAGAACAUGUUAAGGCAUCUAGAAUGGGCUGGGCCCAGAGAAGGCUGUGAUGAUGUCAAAUAUGCACUGGCCAAUGAACAGGAACCCUGGGGAUGCCCAGAGGUGGUAUGGCCAUAGCUCUAGAAGUGCAGAAUUCUCAAAGGGAAACAGAGCUCUCUGCUCCAAAAGUCCUAUGCAAGUCAGAAGCCAACUUCAAGAUACAAUGCACAAAGAGCCAAAUUGUUAUCAGCCAGCUCCUAUUACAAGGAAACAAAUGCUGCAUGGAAAAUUAUUUGUAAAGUUUGUGAUUUUGCCACUUACUAACAGUGUGAACCUAGGCAAGAUUUCUGAAUUUCAACUUUUUCAUCAGAAAAAUGGGAAAUAAUAAUAUCAACAUUGCAAGAGUUCUUGGGAAAAUAAGAUAGCAUGUUUUGAAUAUUUAUCAUGUGUCAAGCACUAUUCUAAGGCUUUUUGGUAUGCCAUCUCAUUUGCAUAAAUACUUAAUAUAGUGCCUGGAACAUAAUAAACAACUAGUAAAUUAGGCAUUAAAUAAAUGUAAUGGGCAGAGGAAGAAUUACUAAGGUUCCAAGAGCAGAGAAGAGAAGAUGCCUGUGUCCACAGGUGGGAAGAAUAAGAUGCAACUGGGAGAAGAAAGGUAUAAUAGUUACUGGAUAUGAGACUCUCAAAACUUUUGAACCAUUACAAAUUAAACCAACCUAACUCACCCCAAAGGACAGAACUGAGCUCUUUUUUCAUCUGUAAUGUUUAUGCCUCUCUGAAUCUGAAAGAAGCUGCCAGGAUUCCAGUACAAACCAAAAAGUGAUGACCGUACCCUGAAACAUGCAAACUUUUGUGUCUCUACAGCUGUCCGUAGGAAACUGGUGCUAGUGGACUACGGGGGAGCAAUAGGGCGUUUCUGGGACCGUAGCUCAAUUUGCUUUUAUAGUGUGGACACAGCUACCGCAUGGAUAUUCUCAGUAGUGGAAUAAAAAACAGGGAUAAAUCUUGGA